rnacentral:sRNA from 1 species
AAGUGAGCUGCGGGCGCGGAAGGCCCAUU